UCAAUCUCAAUGAUGACAACUGGUGGCAUAUGAGUCAUGGGUAAUAAAUACUGUAUGUCUGCCACUCUGAGGUUCCA